UACGAAGGGGGCUAGCGUUGCUCGGAAUCACUGGGCGUAAGGCGCACGUAGGCGGCUUGUUAAGUCAGGGGUGAAAUCCUGGAGCUCAACUCCAGAACUGCCUUUGAUACUGGCGAGCUUGAGUCCGGGAGAGGUGAGUGGAACUGCGAGUGUAGAGGUGAAAUGCGCAGAUAUUAGGAAGAACACCGGUGGCGAAGGCGGCUCUCUGGAACGGUACUGACGCUGAGACGCGAAAGCGUGGGGAGCAAACAGG
rnacentral:rRNA from 1 species